AUGACUUCUAGUUUGCAGCCAUGGGCUCUCCUCCUCGUCCUCUUCCUCUCCAACGUACUUAGCCUAGGAGCGCCAGCGACGGUGUUCAAUGAGAACUUCGUGCCGGUAUGGGGUGCUGAUGGUUAUCACCUAGCCAAUCAGGGGACACAAGUUUCGCUCACCAUGGAUAGAAACUCUGGAGCUGGAUUUAGAUCCAAGAUGAUGUAUGGUUCAGGGUUAUUCCACAUGAGGAUCAAGUUACCCGCCGGGUAUACUGCCGGAGUUGUAACGGCCUUCUAUCUCACGACAGAACCCGAUUAUGGUGACCACGACGAGGUGGAUUUCGAGUUCUUGGGCAAUGUCGAUGGCAAGCCAGUGGCUCUCCAGACCAACAUCUUCCUCAACGGCCAGGGCUACAGAGAGCAGAAGUUCUACCUCUGGUUCGACCCAGCAGCAGCUGUCCAUGACUACAAGAUACUCUGGAACCAACACCAGCUAGUGAUGCUCGUCGACGAAACACCCAUCCGGGUGCUCAAGAACCUAGCGGGCCGCACGCCGGCCUACCAGUUCCUGACGAGGCCGAUGAGAAUCCGGGCGAGCAUUUGGGAUGGCUCUCCCUGGGCGACCGACAACGGCAAGAUCAAAGUCGACUGGAACCGUGCGCCGUUUACCUCCGCGUUCCAGAGGUUCAAUGUCGACGCCUGCCCUGCCACCGGAGGUGCACCGUGUGGCUCACCCAACCUGUGGUGGAACAAGUUUCGGGACCUAACGCCCGCGCAGAAGGCAGCAUACAAAAACAUCAAGAGCAAGUACAUGACCUACAACUACUGUGACGAUAAGGCAAGGUUCAACUACCAUCUGCCGGUAGAGUGCAGCUACAACUAA
rnacentral:rRNA from 1 species